UCACUACACCGGUUCCCGUACACUCACCGAAGUUAAAUAACUUUGAGCCUGGUUAGUAUGAGUAACCGCUUGGGAAGAGCAGGUGCUGUAA